rnacentral:rRNA from 1 species
CGGCGGACGGGUGAGUAACGCGUGGGUAACCUGCCUCAGUACAGGGGGAUAACAGUUAGAAAUGGCUGCUAAUACCGCAUAAGACCACGGUACUGCAUGGUACAGUGGUAAAAACUACCGGUGGUAUGAGAUGGACCCGCGUCUGAUUAGGUAGUUGGUGAGGUAACGGCCCACCAAGCCGACGAUCAGUAGCCGACCUGAGAGGGUGACCGGCCACAUUGGGACUGAGACACGGCCCAGACUCCUACGGGAGGCAGCAUG